rnacentral:rRNA from 1 species
GACGAACGCUGGCAGCGUGCUUAACACAUGCAAGUCGAACGGUAAGGCCCUUCGGGGUACACGAGUGGCGAACGGGUGAGUAACACGUGGGUGAUCUGCCCUGCACUUCGGGGUAAGCCUGGGAAACUGGGUCUAAUACCGGAUAGGACCCUGGGAUGCAUGUCCUGGGGUGGAAAGCUUUUGCGGUGUGGGAUGGGCCCGCGGCCUAUCAGCUUGUUGGUGGGGUGAUGGCCUACCAAGGCGACGACGGGUAGCCGGCCUGAGAGGGUGACCGGCCGCACUGGGACUGAGAUACGGCCCAGACUCCUACGGGAGGCAGCAGUGGGGAAUAUUGCACAAUGGGCGCAAGCCUGAUGCAGCGACGCCGCGUGAGGGAUGACGGCCUUCGGGUUGUAAACCUCUUUCAGCACCGACGAAGCGCAAGUGACGGUAGGUGCAGAAGAAGGACCGGCCAACUACGUGCCAGCCGCCGCAGUAA